CUCGAGCAGUGAGAGGAGGUGACGGCCGAGCAGUGGAACAGAGGUGACGAUGAGGAGAGACGUUCGCGGUGAGAGAUUUGUCAUGGCUUCAUAUGCGGAUCCGAAUCCAAAGUCUAGAAAUCUAAAUUACAAAUUACAUACAACAAUUCAGAAUGACAGCAAUUCAGAAUCCAGAUUAUAUCAAUUCAUACAGCAUUCAAAAUCCAGAAUUAUAUUCAGCAAAAUUCAAUACAGCAGAAUUAAACUUAUAUUGCAAAAUUCAAUAUAGCAAAAUUCAAAAUCCAGAGUCCCAAAAUUGAACUUAUAUCAAAUUCAGAAUUACAGAAUGAUUAAUUCAUAUAAUUAACAAAAUAAAAAAAAAUGAAAAGCAGAAGAACUCUGUAUCAAGCCAUCAAUUCAUAUUGACGAAGAAAAUCCAAAUAUUAACAAAAUCAGAAAAUCAAGCAAAUCAAUUACUAACAACUGUAUUAUCAGAAUCAAUUACUAAACCCUAAACCAGCAAACCGACGCCAAGGAGAUGGCUGCGAAGUGCGAACAGAGUUAUCAAUUUCACGUGAAGUCACUACACCUGAGUUUCCACCUUAUUUGUAAUAUCCAUAACGAACGUAUCUCUUAGCAUAGUGGUGCACAAUAUGCACUCAACAAACAGUAACACUACUAGUCCAAGGUAAAAGCAAAAUUUGUUGACACCAAAUAUUUCAUCAAUUACUUAUACAUAGAUGAUAUCAGCAACCAACACAGAAAAACUAAGGAUAACAUUAUAAAUUUGCAAAAGGUUAUAGAAACACAUAAGAUGAUGCAAGUCAUCACCAGACCUCACUGUUGUACCUCUACUAAAUCAGGCUUUGGCAACACCCCGAAACAGGACAUGUUAUCAACCAUGUUCAACACCAUGCUGAGCUUUACAAGCAUGUAUUAUUAGAUUAUAUUUUCAAUAAAAAUAAAUUAACAAGAAGUUUGUCAACAAAAGAAAACUAAAACUCUGAUUUUGGUACCAACUGUUUUUAGCUAUUAAAUUCAACUGUAAUGUGAAUUGCAUACCAAAGACUUCCAAUCAACCAAGUAGAGAACAAAAGAUGAAGGUCCUCCACCUCCGAUCCCUAACGGAAUCAAUCUAAAACCCAGCAAAUGAUUUUGUUCUCUACUUUAAAACAGAUCCAAGAGAUCGUCACUAAUUCCUAAUAUAUGAACUCGAUACACUUGAAUUUUAAACAGAAUCUAGUGCAAGUGCUCAAAAUCAAUGGUAUUAGAUAAUACAGAUUACAAAGUUAAGUUGAUGCUUCAACUAUUCUAUGAACCACGAUCUGCUGCAUCUGUUAAUUGAAAUGAACAAAGAAAAAAAAGAGAGACAGCAGCAUU